UGAAUAGUGAUAUGAAGAACAUGUGCCACA
rnacentral:piRNA from 1 species